GUUGUAUAGUUAAGUGACUAAGCGUACAAGGUGGAUGCCUUGGCAAUCAGAGGCGAAGAAGGACGUGCUAAUCUGCGAAAAGCUUGGAUGAGUCGAUAAGAGGCGCUUAAUCCAAGAUAUCCGAAUGGGGAAACCCAGUAGAUGAAGAAUCUACUAUCAACAAGUGAAUUCAUAGCUUGUUGAGGCAAACCGGGAGAACUGAAACAUCUAAGUACCCCGAGGAAAAGAAAUCAACCGAGAUUUCGUCAGUAGCGGCGAGCGAAAGCGAAAGAGCCAGUAAGUGAUAACAGUAUGGUUAGGAGAAUGUGUUGGGAAGCACAAUCAAAGAGGGUGAUAAUCCCGUAUCUAAAAACCAUAUUGUGGUACUAAGCUAACGAGAAGUAGGGCGGGACACGUGAUAUCCUGUUUGAAGAAGGGGGGACCAUCCUCCAAGGCUAAAUACUCCUGAUUGACCGAUAGUGAACCAGUACUGUGAAGGAAAGGCGAAAAGAACCCCGGUGAGGGGAGUGAAAUAGAACCUGAAACCUUGUACGUACAAGCAGUGGGAGCCCCAUCACUUAAUCCGAUUGGAAGGUGAUGAAAAGCAACCGCACUUAAACAAUGGUAAGAGGAGCGAAGCGAGUCAAACCACCCAAAAGAAGCAGUGGGAUUAAGUGAUGGGGUGACUGCGUACCUUUUGUAUAAUGGGUCAGCGACUUAUAUUUUGUAGCGAGGUUAACUGAAUAGGGGAGCCGAAGGGAAACCGAGUCUUAACUGGGCGAGUAGUUGCAAGGUAUAGACCCGAAACCCGGUGAUCUAGCCAUGGGCAGGUUGAAGGUUGGGUAACACUAACUGGAGGACCGAACCGACUAAUGUUGAAAAAUUAGCGGAUGACUUGUGGCUGGGGGUGAAAGGCCAAUCAAACCGGGAGAUAGCUGGUUCUCCCCGAAAUCUAUUUAGGUAGAGCCUUGAGGUGACACCUUUGGGGGUAGAGCACUGUUUCGGCUAGGGGGCCAUCCCGGCUUACCAACCCGAUGCAAACUACGAAUACCAAAGAGUGAUACUCAGGAGACACACGGCGGGUGCUAACGUCCGUCGUGGAGAGGGAAACAACCCAGACCGCCAGCUAAGGUCCCCAAGUCUAUAUUAAGUGGGAAACGAAGUGGGAAGGCUUAGACAGCUAGGAUGUUGGCUUAGAAGCAGCCAUCAUUUAAAGAAAGCGUAAUAGCUCACUAGUCGAGUCGGCCUGCGCGGAAGAUGUAACGGGGCUGAAAUAUAGCACCGAAGCUGCGGCAUC
rnacentral:rRNA from 1 species